rnacentral:misc_RNA from 1 species
GUGAAUCAUCGAAUCUUUGAACGCACAUUGCGCCCGCCAGUAUUCUGGCGGGCAUGCCUGUUCGAGCGUCAUUUCAACCCUCAAGCCCCAGUGGCCUGGUGUUGGGGACCGGCGACCUCGCCCGGGGGAACACCCCCGGCGCGUCCGCCGCCCCCGAAAUGAAUUGGCGGCCCCGUCGCGGCCUCCUCUGCGUAGUAGCACAACCUCGCAGCGGGAGCGCGACGCGGCCACUGCCGUAAAACGCCCAACUUUUUUUAGAGUUGACCUCGGAUCAGGUAGGAAUACCCGCUGAACUUAAGC